GGAGAAAUGGCUCUGGAAUGCAGCUGGAGGAAUGCCUGGGAAGCUGUGCGUGGUCCUGGUUUCCCAGGUGUGUCUCUAAUGCUCUUUCUGAAACACAAAAAAGCCACACAAGCACAGCAGAGCUGAGGACAGGGUGCUGCCAAGCUGCUCGUGGGUGCUGUUGCUUCCAUAUGGUUCUGGACUUGUACCUAAAUAUUCCAGGCUUCCUGAGCAUCCCCAUCCAGGUGGGAAGCCUGGGUGUUUUAUGUGCCUUAUCACUUUGGCUGGGAGCACUGAGGUGUUACUGAGAUAAGCUUGAAGUGCUGGAGGUCUUGUUUUCAGUGAUGAUCCAAAACUCAGCUCCCUCGGGGAGAUGUGAUAAAUCAGAUUUCUCCAUCAUUUCAACCUCUGCCUUUACAGCUCCGGGACUGGAGCAUCCAGCAGUGUCCAUGGAGCUGGCAGGAAUUUUCCUUUUCCCUUUAAAGAUCAUUUGGCUGAUUUUAGACUCAGCUUUCUCACUGAUGGUGUGUGUGAGAAGGAGAAUGCUGUAUCAAAGAGAAGGUUCCUGCUCCUCUUGUGCUGAGAACUUUUCAUCCUCCAAAGUAUCAAUUAUCCAGAGCACUUUGGGCAGUGUCAUUACAACUCUGUAAUUAAGAUUUCCAAUUCUCUUGGAAAGAAUUUGAGGCAAACUUAAUUGGAAGGGGAGAUGUUCCCAAGUUGGCCAUGAGACUUGGUCAUGCCUUAAAAAUGUUUAGCACAUUGGGAUUUCUAAUUAGUUGAGUUGCUAUUUGGAUAUUUGGAGGUUUUCCCUGUGGUUUUCCUCCAUUACAUGUUCUUGAGGACUUUGCAGGCCUUUGGGAUUUUUUGUUUGGCCUUUCUUCCAACAUUUUCCUUCACUGGGGCAUGUGUUCCUGCCUCUGUUCCCAGGUGGAACUGCAUCAUGACCACCCACGGCCCCCCUCCCAUGGCAGGACACUCCUCCUGCGUCAUCGAGGACAAAAUGAUCGUUUUUGGGGGCUCCCUUGGAUCCCGACAGAUGAGCAACGACGUGUGGGUGCUGGAUCUGGAGCAGUGGGCUUGGUCCAAGCCCAGCAUCUCGGGGCCCAGCCCUCACCCGCGCGGGGGCCAGUCCCAGAUCGUGAUAGACAACGAGACCAUUUUGAUCCUGGGAGGCUGCGGGGGUCCCAAUGCAGUGAGUACCUGGGGAGCAGGGACAUCACCAUCCCCUGGCACCUGGGGCUGCAUUUGGGCUGGGGGGACUCAGCACGCUGGUGGCAUUUUAUUCCUCAAGUCUGGGCACCCACCUGGUUGAUUUUCCAGGGAAGCUGUUUAGCUGCUGUUGGAGCUGCUUUAAUUAAUAAAAAUCACCCCAGGCGCUCUCUGAGCAGCUCCCUGGGUUCACUGAGGCUCGUCAGGGUGAGCCCUGACUUUGUACUGGGAUAGCAGAUGGCAAUGAAGGGAUUUAUCCAUGGCCAUAGUGGGAUGUAGUCACUCAUGGGUGAUUAACUCUGGGUCAGCAUCUUCUGUCUGCAGCAGCAAAGCACCGCUCCCACCAUGGCCCUGAUGGGCUGAGCCCAGCAGCAAACUGGGCUAAAACUCAGCCUGGGC
rnacentral:lncRNA from 1 species